rnacentral:rRNA from 1 species
CAGCCGUAAACGAUGUGCGUUAGGUGUAUCGACGACCACGAGUCGUCGAGGUGCCGAAGGGAAACCGUGAAACGUACCGCCUGGGAAGUACGGUCGCAAGGCUGAAACUUAAAGGAAUUGGCGGGGGAGCACCACAACAGGUGGAGCCUGUCGGUUUAAUUGGACUCAACGCCGGAAAUCUCACCGGAUAAGACAGCGGAAUGAUUGCCGGGCUGAAGACUCUGCAUGACUAGCUGAGAGGUGGUGCAUGGCGUCAGUGACU